AGCCCCGUGGUCUAGUUGGCCAAGGAUGCCGGGCUCUGGACCCGGAGACGGCGGUUCGAAUCCGCCCGGGGCUA
rnacentral:tRNA from 1 species